rnacentral:rRNA from 1 species
UACGAAGGGUGCAAGCGUUACUCGGAAUUACUGGGCGUAAAGCGUGCGCAGGCGGUUCGUUGUGUCGGCGGUGAAAGCCCCGGGCUUAACCUGGGAAUGGCCGUUGAAACUGGCGAACUGGAGUGUGGCAGAGGGGGGUGGAAUUCCGCGUGUAGCAGUGAAAUGCGUAGAGAUGUGGAGGAAUACCGAUGGCGAAGGCAGCCCCCUGGGCCAAUACUGACGCUCAUGCACGAAAGCGUGGGGAGCAAACAGG